UAGAUGAAAGCCAAAUUAGAGGUACCUAGCUGUUAAUUAGGAAAAUGUAAAUUAUAUUACUCAUCUAG
rnacentral:tRNA from 1 species